AGGAAAAGCUCGAAAAUCAGCGUAACGCUGUUGGAGAUGAGAGGGCACAGCACAAUUUUGAGAGCCAAACAAAGGCGGGGCACAGAGCUGUUGCCUCGAGAUGUGUGGCCUCAGAAGGUCUUGUCGAGGCGAGUGAUGAAAGGGAGGAGGUUCCCGAGGAUACUGGAGCCGGAAGACGCGGCGAGGGUCCGGGUUAGCAAACCGGGCAGAGUCAGAGGCCCAGGACGCCGGGCCCUGGGGGCGCUGUCGCAGGGCGGCGGCGGAGGCCGGGGUGGUGGGCGCCCCGGGGUGGGGGGAGGCGGGAGUGCUCUCCCAGGUGGGCUUGGAGGGGCCCCGGCCCAGACACCCAGGGCCAGCCGGCGCACCCGCAUGAUGUUCUGAAAGCGUCCCCGCAGCCUGGUCGGUGGCUGGGGGAAGCUGGGCGUGGUUAGCCUGGCAGCCUGGCUUUGCGGACUCACCUCCGGGCCUCGUCCUCCAGUGCCUUCCCUCCCCAACUGAGGGGCUUGGCUGCACCCGCACGCGGUUUUCCAGGAACAGCGAUCCCGGAGUGGACUCUCCCGCAUCCAGGGGGACGUCAGCACUCUCGGCUUCCCCAUGGGGACACACUCACUGAGGUCACGCGACCCAAAACCAAAUGACCCACCACCACGACAGCCGCAUCGUUUUUAGUGGUUUGUCCGGGAGGUUUUAGAGUGAGAGAAUGAAGGGGGUGAGGCCUGAGGGAGGGAGGCGCAUGGAAGCCGCCGCAUCUGACUGUCCCAGGGUGUGCCCAGGCCCAGAGAUGAUGUCCAGACCCCUGAAGGGAGUGAAGCGGAGGCCCUGCUGGAGGCAAAGGAUUCAAGGAGAUUCAAAACCCGUGUCACUGCUGCCAUCUUCCUAGAAUCCCUUUAAAUCCUCAUGGAUUUGCUGACAUUGGGAGCAUCCUGAAAGAGUCCCCAUGCUAGGGUGGCUGCAGUAACAGGUACAAUGAGAAAUGAUGGUUCUCCCCACUCCAGAAAAAAUCAAAUCAGAUUGUGAAUUUAUUCCCUGACAUUAACACACGGCAUUACAGGAGCAUGUACAUCACAUGGUCAAUUUAUUGGCAUGAGGAUUAUGUCAUCGGGGAAUAAAUGGGAAAUUCUCAAGGUGGCCCAGGCCUGUAGGCUUCCAGUGAGAAAACUGGAGACCACACUCACCCGUCCCACUGCCGUUUCUUUGGGGCUGCCUGUGAUACUGGGUUAUUCCCCUUGCCGAGUUCCACUGUGCUUACCCUGUUGGAAUAUGAUGGUGGACUUGCCAGAGGAGAUGACCAUGAUUUUCAGGAACAGCAGCCCCUCCUUCCUGGUUGAGGCAGCCAGCAGGCACUCCUAUCCAUGAGCCACAGCUCAGCUAAGGCAAUCCAGUCCAGCUGCAUGCCCUCUCUCUGCUUCUGGGGAGGUAGGAAGGACCAGGGGCAUUCAUGCUUGUUUCUAGGGGGCCCUAACUGGAUCUCUGGAUCAAGACCUACUCAGGGGAGAAAGACUACUCUGGGUUCCAUGUUAGGACUGACGGGUGCAUCUUAACUGAGAUGCAGACAGUGGACAAUUCGAACUCUGACCUGAGAGCAAGCCCCAGCCUUGGUGCUCAUAAAUGCUCCGCUUGGUCCUUCACAUUUGUGUUCCACACAGGAGAAGCCAAGUUGUGAGCAGUGCACCUUCACAAGCAAAGCCUCGACUGAAAUCUUCUCUAACAAUUGGCUGGUCACUCCUGAGCGUAAUCUACCCCUUCAGAACACUGGGGAUGAAUUUAGAGACAUCGAAGCCUCCUGAUGAGAAAUACGUGUCCACUCACCGGGAGAACUGAAAUACCAGGAGAUUUCUACACAAAUCUCACAGAGUCCUUCUGGCGUCCUAGGGGUUUGCUCACAUAUAAGGGACUUUCUGGUAGGAAGAGAGUCUCUUUACAUUCUUUAUUAUAUGAUCCUGGUGGCUUUGUAGAGAGAUGGUACAGCUGACAGAUCAUGUCCUGUGGGGCCAGGGAGUUGUGUGUGUGUGAAUGCUCUGUGAACUUGGGCAAACUACUUAGCCUCUCUGAGCCUUAGCUGCAUCAGCUUUGAAAAACAGGAUGAUAAAAUGGAGUCACCUUAUUUGACUUUUAUAAAUACACUUACACAAUUACACAAGUUGUGGGGAUGGGAAGAGAGAGUUGGGGAAAGAGAAAUGAGAGAGAGAGAGAGAGAGAAUGAAUGAUAAACAAUUUAAACAACAGUGGGGUGUAGACCAACGCCCAGCCUGGCAAGGGUGAGCCCAGAGAGCCUUCCCUCCUGGCUAUUGGCAGCCUCCGCAUGGAAGCCUGUCGUUGACUUCUUAAUGAUGAGAGAUGUUCUGGGGGCACUCCAGGAUUCUUGGACAUGGGAUCGUCUUCACAGCUGUGUCUAUUGAAAGCUGAAGUUUCAGUCUCCCCUGCCCCCUGCCCCCUGGAGUGGCUUCCCAGGGGAAAUUCAAGGGCACCUGUGACUGCAUGGCUGCUUUCCUUUCCUUUACUCAAUGCCGUCCUUUGGUGACAGCCGUGUCUCAUGCCAGGAUACAUGAGGUGCUCUAUAGUAGUAUGUUUUCCCUCCUGGGAGGUAAUUUUAUUUAAAUGUGAAGUCAAAAGGAUCACUAAAUAGAACCAUGAGGCAACCACUCUGGGCACCUGCCUGGUGAUAUCCACAAGAGCUGACCACAGGUGCCCCCUGUGCCCAGCAAGUCCUUGGCUGGGCAGUCACACAACAGGCAUGGGGAUGUGUGGCCACCAAGCCCUCCAGGGCAGUGCUAUUUGUAAUAGUCCCAAAUGGGAGAGAUGGCAAACGCCCGCCAAUGGGGCAGCAUGGAUAAAUGGAUGCUGCACAGCAACGGCGAUGAGUGAGCCCCAGCACCCGUGAGCUCACCAGUGUAAUAUUGGGUGGAAGAAGCCAGGAGGAAGGGCAUUCACAUUCUGUGAUUCCAGCUACACUAUGUUUAAAUAUGGGCAGAGCUAGGCUGUGGUGCUGGAAGCCAGGACAGUGGGAUCCUUGCAUGGGGGUGAUGGUGCUGGUAGGUUCUGGUAAUUUCCUCUUCUUGAUCUGGGUGUAAACAUUUUGUGAAAAUUCAAUGAGCUGUACAUUUAUGACUGGUACAUUUAUGACUUUGUAUGAAUAUUAUACUUUCAUAAAACUACUUU
rnacentral:lncRNA from 1 species